GUCCAGCUGACGAGUCCCAAAUAGAACGAAACGCGCAUCCUGAAU
rnacentral:hammerhead_ribozyme from 1 species